CAGGGCCAGCCUCACAGGUUGCUGAGUUCCAGUAGGGUCUGGUCCCAGCAGCUGCUCUUUGCUGGGUGUCAUUCCUGUCACUGUGAGGACACUGGCAAACCAAAGAGAUUGGUCCUUGUCUUUGGGACUCCUAGAGUUGAGGACAGAUAAUGCAUAGGAAGAAUCAGGUUUCUUACUUCCUGGUCACAAAAUGGCUGCCGAAGUCCAUAAGCUAAAUCCUAAUGUGAGUGAACAUGAUCAAGAAGUUCACAAUUUUAAGUGGUCUAUACUUCAUCUGUACUCCAGAUAUGUGGUUAACAAUAUUGCUGGCUGUGAACGUCCUCUUCGUUUUAAGAUUUAUUCUUCCUCUGAGUAAAAGAGAAGAUUCAUGACUACAACCCCAAAAUACGGCACUUCUGCCUGUGUGGAAACAACAGAAGCAGGAAGAUUACUCUCAUUUUUCUCUGGCCUUUUUCCCUUGAAGCAGACUAUAAAGAAGAAUCUGACCUUCCUCUGAAGGAAACCUUCAUUCCAGACAUACCCUCCCUAUAUCCAAAGAACAUCUUUAUCUUUAAAGACACAGAGAUGUCAAGAAGAAUCUGAACAAACAGGCUUUGCCAGAUCCCCCAGUUUACUAAUAUUGAACCAUACUCUUUUGUUCUUCAAUCAUACUUCUGCAUGAUGUCCAUAAAAAUACACAGUUUUCCCCAUUCCUUUUGGGUAUUUAUUCCCGAAAGCUUCUGUGUCAUGUAAAACUUACAUUAAAUAAAUUUGUAUGCUUUUCCUUG
rnacentral:lncRNA from 1 species